rfam:Salmonella enterica subsp. enterica serovar Typhimurium str. LT2, complete genome.
GGUUAAGCGACUAAGCGUACACGGUGGAUGCCCUGGCAGUCAGAGGCGAUGAAGGACGUGCUAAUCUGCGAUAAGCGCCGGUAAGGUGAUAUGAACCGUUAUAACCGGCGAUUUCCGAAUGGGGAAACCCAGUGUGAUUCGUCACACUAUCAUUAACUGAAUCCAUAGGUUAAUGAGGCGAACCGGGGGAACUGAAACAUCUAAGUACCCCGAGGAAAAGAAAUCAACCGAGAUUCCCCCAGUAGCGGCGAGCGAACGGGGAGGAGCCCAGAGCCUGAAUCAGCAUGUGUGUUAGUGGAAGCGUCUGGAAAGGCGCGCGAUACAGGGUGACAGCCCCGUACACAAAAGCGCAUGUGCUGUGAGCUCGAUGAGUAGGGCGGGACACGUGGUAUCCUGUCUGAAUAUGGGGGGACCAUCCUCCAAGGCUAAAUACUCCUGACUGACCGAUAGUGAACCAGUACCGUGAGGGAAAGGCGAAAAGAACCCCGGCGAGGGGAGUGAAAAAGAACCUGAAACCGUGUACGUACAAGCAGUGGGAGCACAGGUUUACCUGUGUGACUGCGUACCUUUUGUAUAAUGGGUCAGCGACUUAUAUUCUGUAGCAAGGUUAACCGUAUAGGGGAGCCGGAGGGAAACCGAGUCUUAAUUGGGCGUUAAGUUGCAGGGUAUAGACCCGAAACCCGGUGAUCUAGCCAUGGGCAGGUUGAAGGUUGGGUAACACUAACUGGAGGACCGAACCGACUAAUGUUGAAAAAUUAGCGGAUGACCUGUGGCUGGGGGUGAAAGGCCAAUCAAACCGGGAGAUAGCUGGUUCUCCCCGAAAGCUAUUUAGGUAGCGCCUCGUGAAUUCAUCUCCGGGGGUAGAGCACUGUUUCGGCUAGGGGGCCAUCCCGGCUUACCAACCCGAUGCAAACUGCGAAUACCGGAGAAUGUUAUCACGGGAGACACACGGCGGGUGCUAACGUCCGUCGUGAAGAGGGAAACAACCCAGACCGCCAGCUAAGGUCCCAAAGUCAUGGUUAAGUGGGAAACGAUGUGGGAAGGCCCAGACAGCCAGGAUGUUGGCUUAGAAGCAGCCAUCAUUUAAAGAAAGCGUAAUAGCUCACUGGUCGAGUCGGCCUGCGCGGAAGAUGUAACGGGGCUAAACCAUGCACCGAAGCUGCGGCAGCGAACGUAUCACCCAAGACAACUUUACGGAGUUGACGAUUGACGGAGCGAAGCGACGUCAAAGCGUUCAUUAAAGUCGAGUUGGCUUAGGGAUACGUUCGUUGGGUAGGGGAGCGUUCUGUAAGCCUGUGAAGGUGUGUCGUGAGGCAUGCUGGAGGUAUCAGAAGUGCGAAUGCUGACAUAAGUAACGAUAAAGCGGGUGAAAAGCCCGCUCGCCGGAAGACCAAGGGUUCCUGUCCAACGUUAAUCGGGGCAGGGUGAGUCGACCCCUAAGGCGAGGCCGAAAGGCGUAGUCGAUGGGAAACGGGUUAAUAUUCCCGUACUUGGUGUUACUGCGAAGGGGGGACGGAGAAGGCUAUGUUGGCCGGGCGACGGUUGUCCCGGUUUAAGCGUGUAGGUGUGUGUUCCAGGUAAAUCCGGUUCACUUUAACACUGAGGCGUGACGACGAGGCACUACGGUGCUGAAGCAACAAAUGCCCUGCUUCCAGGAAAAGCCUCUAAGCAUCAGGUAACACGAAAUCGUACCCCAAACCGACACAGGUGGUCAGGUAGAGAAUACCAAGGCGCUUGAGAGAACUCGGGUGAAGGAACUAGGCAAAAUGGUGCCGUAACUUCGGGAGAAGGCACGCUGACACGUAGGUGAAGUGAUUUACUCAUGGAGCUGAAGUCAGUCGAAGAUACCAGCUGGCUGCAACUGUUUAUUAAAAACACAGCACUGUGCAAACACGAAAGUGGACGUAUACGGUGUGACGCCUGCCCGGUGCCGGAAGGUUAAUUGAUGGGGUCAGCGUAAGCGAAGCUCCUGAUCGAAGCCCCGGUAAACGGCGGCCGUAACUAUAACGGUCCUAAGGUAGCGAAAUUCCUUGUCGGGUAAGUUCCGACCUGCACGAAUGGCGUAAUGAUGGCCAGGCUGUCUCCACCCGAGACUCAGUGAAAUUGAACUCGCUGUGAAGAUGCAGUGUACCCGCGGCAAGACGGAAAGACCCCGUGAACCUUUACUAUAGCUUGACACUGAACAUUGAGCCUUGAUGUGUAGGAUAGGUGGGAGGCUUUGAAGUGUGGACGCCAGUCUGCAUGGAGCCGACCUUGAAAUACCACCCUUUAAUGUUUGAUGUUCUAACGUGGACCCGUAAUCCGGGUUGCGGACAGUGUCUGGUGGGUAGUUUGACUGGGGCGGUCUCCUCCUAAAGAGUAACGGAGGAGCACGAAGGUUGGCUAAUCCUGGUCGGACAUCAGGAGGUUAGUGCAAUGGCAUAAGCCAGCUUGACUGCGAGCGUGACGGCGCGAGCAGGUGCGAAAGCAGGUCAUAGUGAUCCGGUGGUUCUGAAUGGAAGGGCCAUCGCUCAACGGAUAAAAGGUACUCCGGGGAUAACAGGCUGAUACCGCCCAAGAGUUCAUAUCGACGGCGGUGUUUGGCACCUCGAUGUCGGCUCAUCACAUCCUGGGGCUGAAGUAGGUCCCAAGGGUAUGGCUGUUCGCCAUUUAAAGUGGUACGCGAGCUGGGUUUAGAACGUCGUGAGACAGUUCGGUCCCUAUCUGCCGUGGGCGCUGGAGAACUGAGGGGGGCUGCUCCUAGUACGAGAGGACCGGAGUGGACGCAUCACUGGUGUUCGGGUUGUCAUGCCAAUGGCACUGCCCGGUAGCUAAAUGCGGAAGAGAUAAGUGCUGAAAGCAUCUAAGCACGAAACUUGCCCCGAGAUGAGUUCUCCCUGAGACUUAGAGUCUCCUGAAGGAACGUUGAAGACGACGACGUUGAUAGGCCGGGUGUGUAAGCGCAGCGAUGCGUUGAGCUAACCGGUACUAAUGAACCGUGAGGCUUAACCUU